rnacentral:rRNA from 1 species
CCUACGGGAGGCUGCAGUGGGGAAUAUUGGACAAUGGGGGCAACCCUGAUCCAGCCAUGCCGCGUGUGUGAAGAAGGCCCUCGGGUUGUAAAGCACUUUCAGUGAGGAAGAACGCCUGGUGGUUAAUACCCAUCAGGAAAGACAUCACUCACAGAAGAAGCACCGGCUAACUCCGUGCCAGCAGCCGCGGUAAUACGGAGGGUGCGAGCGUUAAUCGGAAUUACUGGGCGUAAAGCGCGCGUAGGUGGCUUGAUAAGCCGGUUGUGAAAGCCCCGGGCUCAACCUGGGAACGGCAUCCGGAACUGUCCAGCGAGAGUGCAGGAGAGGAAGGUAGAAUUCCCGGUGUAGAGGUGAAAUGCGUAGAGAUCGGGAGGAAUACCAGUGGCGAAGGCGGCCUUCUGGACUGACACUGACACUGAGGUGCGAAAGCGUGGGUAGCAAACAGGAUUAGAUACCCUGGUAGUA